AUUGAACGCUGGCGGCAGGCCUAACACAUGCAAGUCGAGCGGAUGAAGAGAGCUUGCUCUCUGAUUCAGCGGCGGACGGGUGAGUAAUGCCUAGGAAUCUGCCUGGUAGUGGGGGACAACGUUUCGAAAGGAACGCUAAUACCGCAUACGUCCUACGGGAGAAAGCAGGGGACCUUCGGGCCUUGCGCUAUCAGAUGAGCCUAGGUCGGAUUAGCUAGUAGGUGAGGUAAAGGCUCACCUAGGCGACGAUCCAUAACUGGUCUGAGAGGAUGAUCAGUCACACUGGAACUGAGACGCGGUCCAGACUCCUACGGGAGGCAGCAGUGGGGAAUAUUGGACAAUGGGCGAAAGCCUGAUCCAGCCAUGCCGCGUGUGUGAAGAAGGUCUUCGGAUUGUAAAGCACUUUAAGUUGGGAGGAAGGGCAGUAAGUUAAUACCUUGCUGUUUUGACGUUACCAACAGAAUAAGCACCGGCUAACUUCGUGCCAGCCGCCGCCGUAAGAC
rnacentral:rRNA from 1 species